UUUUCCAUGCUGUGAUCAAGUUGUCUUUUCCUCUGAGCGCCAAGCGCCGUGCACGCCUUGGACUUGGAACUAUAUCGGGAAAUCGGGAAAACGGGAUUGAACGAAUUUCAACAGAAUCCAACAGUAGCUAAAAGUUUAGUGUGUGUGUGUGUGUGUUUGAGUGGGUGUAUGCGGGUGUGUGCGGGUGUCCCGUUGUCCGUGUGGCAAGUCUAAUGGACAGCAAAAUUGUCGCAACAAAGGCGUGGCAGUUAGGUAGAGGGUGCGGUCUGGUCUGGUCUGGUCUGGUCUGGUCUGUCUUCCACAUGCACUUGUUGUGCGUCCUGUACUUGCAGUGGCAGCAACUGCAGCAGCAGUACCACUAACAGCAAGAGAGGCAGCAUUCGUCUGCCAGUUGCUGCCACAGAUGGGUGCAAAGUUCCGCUUUCCGCUUGCCACUUGCCACUUGCCCAGUGCCACUUUCGUUACUUAAUUGGUUUUCAAUGUUCGGUGCGUGUGAAUAAAAGUGCUUUGUUCAUUAUUCAAUAUCCAAAUUACAGCAGAAUCCCCGCAAAAACUAUGAAAUAAAUAAAUUAUAGAAUACCACAAAAACAAACAAAAAAAAUUGUGAAACGACGGACUGACUUACAUGCAUUUUAUUAGUAAAUAAAAAACCAACAAACCGAAAAUUAAUCCAAUUGAAAAACACCAAGAAGCACCGAAAAAAUAGAGGCCUCCACAAACAUUUUCGCAACUCAAAUGAAAAAUAAACGAGAACAAAACGGUUUCGCCUCCCGCCAGCACAAAAAAAAAACAGAACAGAAGUGGAGAUGAAUAAUAAAAUACAACAAAAAUAAUCCAACAAAAGAAAUUAAAAUGAAAAUGAAAAUUAGAGCGGAAAUCCAAUGGGGCAGGAAUAAUUAAAACAGAGAACAGAAACCAGAGACCAGAGACCAGAGCAGCGCAACAAUUUCCUACCGCAAAUCGAAUCAGUCGUUAUCAGAUAACUGUAAACCGAACUAAACCCAAUCGAAAUCCAAUCGCAAAUUAAAUUACCAAAAUACAGAGGAGCAAAAAGAGGAAGAGAUCGCCCCAGCAGCCCCCCUAAAAAGGAGGGUGAAAUGAAGUCAACGAAGGCAACCCCUAAGCCCGCCAUGGAGCCGAAAAUUUUGUGCUUUUGUAUUUGCCAAUUUUAAUGAGUGUAGAAAGCAAAUUCAAAAACUUAAGAAACAGAAAACAGAAACAAUAUAAUACA
rnacentral:misc_RNA from 1 species